rnacentral:rRNA from 1 species
CCUACGGUUGGCAGCAGUGGGGGAUAUUGGACAAUGGGGGGAACCCUGAUCCAGCGACGCCGCGUGAGUGAAGAAGUAUUUCGGUAUGUAAAGCGCUGUCAGAAGGGAAGAAAGCAAUGACGGUACCUGACCAAGAAGCCCCGGCUAACUACGUGCCAGCAGCCGCGGUAAUACGUAGGGGGCAAGCGUUAUCCGGAAUUACUGGGUGUAAAGGGGGCGUAGACGGCUGUGCAAGUCUGGAGUGAAAGGCGGGGGCCCAACCCCCGGACUACUCGGGAAACUGUAUGGCUGGAGUGCAGUAGAGGUAAGCGGAAUUCCUAGUGUAGGAGUGAAAUGCGUAGAUAUUAGAAGGAACACCAGUGGCGAAGGCGGCUUACUGGACUGUAACUGACGUUGAGGCUCGAAAGCGUAGGGAGCAAACGGGAUUAGAUACCCUAGUAGUC